GCUCAGGACGAACGCUGGGCGGCGGGCUUAACACAUGCAAGUCGCGGGAGAAGGGGCCCUUCGGGGCCCCGGAGACCGGCGGAUGGGUGAGUAACGCGUAGGUAAUCUGCCUUUAGCACGGGAAUAACCCACCGAAAGGUGAGCUAAUGCCCGAUGAUGCAGCGGCCCCGCAUGGGGACAGUUGUUAAAGCCUUCGGGCGGCUAAAGAUGAGCCUGCGUGCCAUUAGUUAGUUGGUAGGGUCAAAGCCUACCAAGACGAUGAUGGCUAGGGGGUCUGAGAGGAUGAUCCCCCACACUGGGACUGAGACACGGCCCAGACUCCUACGGGAGGCAGCAGUGAGGAAUCUUGCGCAAUGGGGGCAACCCUGACGCAGCCACGCCGCGUGCUGGAAGACGGCCCUAUGGGUUGUAAACAGCUUUUGGUCGGGAAGAACCCCGGAGUUUCGACUCCGGCUGACGGUACCGAUUGAAUAAGCACCGGUUAACUCCGUGCCAGCAGCCGCGGUAAUACGGAGGGUGCAAGCGUUGUCCGGAAUCAUUGGGUGUAAAGGGUGUGCAGGCGGAAGUCUAAGUCGGAGGUGAAAUCUUGCCGCUUAACGGUAAAAGGGCCUUCGAAACUGGAUUUCUUGAGUU
rnacentral:rRNA from 1 species